AGAGUUUGAUCCUGGCUCAGAUUGAACGCUGGCGGCAGGCCUAACACAUGCAAGUCGAACGGUAACAGGAAGCAGCUUGCUGCUUUGCUGACGAGUGGCGGACGGGUGAGUAAUGUCUGGGAAACUGCCUGAUGGAGGGGGAUAACUACUGGAAACGGUAGCUAAUACCGCAUAACGUCGCAAGACCAAAGAGGGGGACCUUCGGGCCUCUUGCCAUCGGAUGUGCCCAGAUGGGAUUAGCUAGUAGGUGGGGUAACGGCUCACCUAGGCGACGAUCCCUAGCUGGUCUGAGAGGAUGACCAGCCACACUGGAACUGAGACACGGUCCAGACUCCUACGGGAGGCAGCAGUGGGGAAUAUUGCACAAUGGGCGCAAGCCUGAU
rnacentral:rRNA from 1 species